rnacentral:lncRNA from 1 species
AGGUACAUUGGUGGCCACCGGUGGCGCCAUGGAUCAAAGUGAAUACUGAUGGUUCAGCGACGGGAACUCCGGGCACUAUUGCUGCAGGUGGGGUGUUUAGAGAUAACUGGAAUGUGGUGCGUGGUUGUUUUCACUUCAAAGGUGGCUCGGGUUUUGCCUUUGAAGCAGAGCUACUGGCAGUUAUCUCGGCGAUUCAAAUUGCUCACAAUCGUGGAUGGCAC